AGAAAAUGUCCCCUUCACCCUAAGAUUCACUGAAAAAUCAGCUGAAAAGAGGCAGAUUAAUAGAAGUGUAAACCAAACAUCUUUGGAGAAAUAUUUCAACCUUUAAAGGAGAAACGGUGGAUAUUGGGAAGGAGGAAGAAAUUUUUAAAGUUCCUCCAGCAUAAAAACAAGACAAAGUUUCUGCAGAGCUGCUCUAACCCAAUAAUAAAAUUGGACAAUAAGCUGCAUAUCUGCCGGAAACCUGGGACUGGCAAUGGAGAUGAGAAGAGAAUCAGAAGGCUGAAAUGAAGCCACAAUGUUGACAGCAAGUGGAGUCUGGCAACCCCAAGUUUCCAAAGUGCACAUCUGCGCUGGGGCCUGGAGAUUUCUGGAAGGGAAUCAGUCUGUGUCCUUUUUGCAGGAUAUGUCUGAUGACAUAGAAGCUGUGGAAUCCAUUCUUCAGGGUCUAAACUCAAGCCUGGUCCUUAGUUCUCCGUACUGUAUUCUUCCUGACCUCCAGACCUGAGCGUCCUCCCCUUCAAAAGACAAAGCCAUCCAAAGAGUCUGAGCACUCCAAGUGAGCAGCUUGAAGAGUGAGAGACAUGGACAGAGGGAAGGGCAGGUCUGUGCAGCCUGUGGCCAUAAACCCCACCUCUGGCCUUCUCCAGUGAAGCCACACUCAAGAUUUAAGAGAACUUGUGAUCAACUUGGGGUAUUUGCACCCCACGAAAAGGGAGUUUGCAGGAUCCCUAAUAUCACUGCGAGUUGCCACUUUUCCAGUCUUUUUUUGCUGUUCGCUCAUAUCCACAGGGAAAAAAACGAAAUGAGCAGCCCAGUCCCUCAGGCCUUUUUCUUUAAUGUUGCCAUCAAAAAUCAAUAAAAUGCAUCAAGC
rnacentral:lncRNA from 10 species